CUGACACUAACCCCUGUGAAGAAGGAGGAGGAGGAGGCGGGUAAAGCUGAGCAGUGUUAAGCAAAGGGCUGGUUUUCUAUAGGAAGCCCACAGCAGAUGGCCUACAAGGUGGUGUCCUGCCUGCAGACAGCCUGCAGAGUAAAGGCAAUGUACCCCAGCCCUGUGCAGCUCAUCACAGCUGUAUCCUCCUAUUCACAGCAGCAGUGCCGUGGCUAUGUGUGCUUGUUCCCAGGCAGGCACCUCUAGAUCUUGGAUUUCAACUGAACAAAACCCAUCCUUUUUUCACAGCAACCUGCAUGGAGGGGAAAAUAGGCUGACAGCAUCAAACAAAGUUAUUUGUGUGUGCUCUGGAAGGAAAGGCACCAUGAACACGGUCUCUCCCAUGCCAUGAAGGGGUUGAGCAUCUCCAACCAGGGAGGUGAGAGGCUUUAUCAACAGUGAGCCCAGCUCAUUCCUGUGCAACACAACUGGCCAUACGUGGCUGUCCCAGAGCAGAGCCAGAUGUUCUUCAAGCAGAAGAAGUGAGGCAAGGCAGAUGUUGGCAACCUCGACAGCGCAGGAGUCCAAUUCCCUUUUUCCAUUUGCUUGAGACAAAAGAGGAAAUCAGGGUUGGAUUACAUCUGCAUGUGGAGGGGGGUGAGCAGGAUGGAUCAGGCCCUCAGCUAACGCAAACCAGUGUAUGCGCCCGUUUGCAGCAUGUGGGUACCAGGAUGUCACAAGCAGCAUCUCUCAGAGUAUUUAACUUUUAAGGUGUAAUUCAGCUUGAAUUACUACUCGUGAAAAGCUGGGAACUCCCUCUUGCAUUGGUUCUCCCUAAUUCUACUGAGCCCCUCAAACCCCUUUGGAGCUCAAACUAUUCUCUUUAGCAGCAGAUGGAUAAAAUAUCAGGCCGAAGACUAUGUGUGGCUCUGGCAGCAGCCAAACCCAACAACAUAUUUACUUCAAAGCAGGCAGAAGGAUAGCUUGUCCAGCUGGAAAAAGCAGGAAGCGUGUUUUUAAAGGAGCAGAAGAAGGGGACAGACAAGGAGAUGAUUGUGUGGCCACACCAGCCUGGCCCUAACUUCAAGUAGCUUCUUACCUUGCAGCAGCCUUCAUGCUCUAUGUCCCAAAUGAGAGCGAGGAGCCAGCCCAGCCAUCAACUCCUCCAACCUCAAAACACACCAAGAUCAUCUAAGACAUCCUCCUUCUCAUCCAGGAGAGAAAGCUUCUGCCAACAUCAUGUCACAGAGCUACACCGCAUUGCACGUGGGGAGUUGUGAUUGCAGCUCACAAGGGACUGAAAAGCGAGAAAUGGGCUCCGAUGAGUGAAUGAUUGCACAAUAUCUUCUACAUCCCAUUUCCUGCAUUUGCAGAACAUCUAUGUCCUAGCCUGGGCUUUUUACUGAUAGUAAAAGGCUAUGGCAGUGACAGGGACAACUCUUCCAGGCCCGGAUUGGAGGGCAUGGCAUGGAACUGCAUCCAUAAGGAUGCUGUGAAAGAUAAAAGCUGAUCUGGCUUGAAAAAGCAUCUGGGCAAGACAAAGCCCCCCAUGAGGAGCUGCUGGGGAGGGAGCAGAAGCCACUUGGCUGUUCCUUCUGCAUCCAAAGGACCCCAAGAACCCAAAAGAGGUGCUUGGUCCUUGUUCCCUUGGAUCUCAUUAAGUAUGUGUUAACUUGUGACAUGCAAACCCAAUAAGGGAAAAUUGGGAGAGCAGGAAGCCUUUUCUGGGAAGAAAUCAGCUUUUCUUGGGUUUCAAAGUGGGCAUGGGUGUAUGGUGUAUGGUUUACAGUGAUAGCAAUGCACUGUAAAACCAUCUGCACAAGUAAAGUACAGACAAUAGCGUUCUUGAAAUGCAGUGUUUGUAGCAGAAGCGCUGUAGGUCAGUGUCUUGCUGCAAGCAAAUCCUCCAUCUGGUCUGUAAUGGCUGAUCCCUUCCUUCCACAUCCCCUGUUCUUUGCUGGAAAGGGAAAAUUGCUGAUAUUCAGCAAAAAACUACAGCUGGAAAUGGCAAACCGGUAUCAUCUCAGCCACCAAUGCACAAUGAGAGAGCCUACAAGGGAAUAUGGGCUAAAUACAUCCUGUGGGGAACAUGCAUUGGAUCCUAUCUAGGGAUGAGCACAUGGAGCUCUGGAGGUUGGGGCUUGGGGAGCAGGACUUGUCCUUGCACAGCCACUGAGACCUCCAGCCACACACUGCUCCUGGUAUGGUUUUUCCAGGGAAAACCUCUA